CUUGAGACCUUGCUGCAGAGAACCUACAAUACUCCAACAGUGGUAUGUCAUUACUGGCACAGUAAACCUAGUGUGUUUAUACCACAGAUCUUGGUAUAUGGCUGACAUCUGAUCCUUAGUGCAGGGAGGCGUACAGACUUGCCCAUUAAGGGGGGUGGGCGAGGUCUUUGUGGUAGAUCAUUCCUGUACUUGUUAUGCACCAAUGCCAAACCAUCUUUACACACAAGGACACUGCCCCCACCCUGCCACAGUGUCACAAAAUGUAUAUAACCCACAUGCAAAUACAAUUAAAUUGGGGCCCCAGCUGCUGCAUGCGAAAAAAAAAAUCUGUAGGUUUGAAUAUAAAAUUGAGCAAUGAGGAAUAGUACGUUGUAGCCAAUUACCCAAGAGAUUUCCUGUGCCUUCUGGACUGUAUAUGAUGCUGUAUGCAUUCAUCUAUCACAUAUACAUUGACCGUGUAUGGUGGCAAAUUACUAAAUGAUAGAAAUGUGGAGUGUCUACCUAUUUAAGAAUUUCCAAUCGAGUGCUACAAUUAAUUCUGAAUAAAUGUCCUGCAAAAGAAGCAUUCGUUGGGAUAAUCAUUGCUAAGAACACGUGACUCCUAGUUAGGUGAUUCCAUUUCCUUUAUGCGUACAUUUAGAUUCUGGGUUUCUACCAUGCAUUUUUUUAUUUUGCUUCUAAAAUAUGUAUUGGAAUAACACGUUUUCAAAC